GUGAAAUGGGACAUUAUAUGACUUCAGUUUCUGCUUUCUACAUAUCUAAGGGACUAUAGUGAAACAUAUGAUUUUAUAUCGUAAGACAAUUGGGAGUAACCUUUAGAAAAACUUUCUGAAUUCCUCUUGUAUUGUGCACCUUGUGUUUGGUAUUAUUUGGUUCAUUUUGUCCUUGAAAAAAAAUCCCUUAAAACUCUGUCUUUUGGUUUUGGUCUCCACUUAUAUGUGUUUCUUCUCUUUGUAUGCACUGACAAAGGUUUUUUGUUUUGGUUUUUUGUUUUGUUUUGUUUUUUAAAGUCAAGUAGAGAUCUACUUAUAUGGAGUGGAAGUGGAUUAUAGUAACUUCCCAGUGACUACUGGAGAAAAGAACAGUAAGAGACAAUUAAAAUCACAUUGAAUUUUUCUGAGUAUCAGGCACAUACCACAUUUAACUUGGAACUAAAAAAUAUACAAUCCCAUUGUUUAGUAGAAUUGGGGGGAAAUAGAGUUUAAAAUAGUGUUUCUGGAAUAACAGAAAUGGAAAACAAAAACCUCCUAUAACAUUGUCAGAGUAUUCCUCCAAAGGAGACAUAUGCAAUCUCCUGAAAGCAAUUACCUCUAGUAAUUUCUCAACUACAAGCAAUAUGACAUAUUUUUAUCUUGAUGUCUGCACAGUGUAUUGUCAUUAAUAACCAAGCACGUUUCAAGCACUGAGUAGGUAUAUUUUAAUGUGUCCAUAUGCUAGAACGGUGGUGAUUCACAACUAGGGGUGAUUUUGCAAUUGCAUUUUGGCAAUGACAGAAGAUAUUUUUGUUUGUCAUUUGACUGGGAGCAUGUAGCAGGUAGAGGCCAGAGAUGCUGCUAAACAUCUUACAAGUCAUAAGUCAACCUCCACAACAAAUAAUUAUCUGGCCCAAAUUGUCAAUAGUUCUGAGAUUGAAAAACAUUGGCCUAGAAUAAGCAUGAAUUUAGGGAUGAUCUGUAACAAAUCCAUUCAUCCAAUCCACAUGGGUUUUUUUUUGUUUUGUUUGCUUGUUUGUUUUUGCUUUUUAGGGCCGCACCUGCAGCAUAGGGAGGUUCCCAGGCUAGGGGUCCAGUCAGAGCUACAGCUGCUGGCCUACACCACAGCCACAGCAACGUAGGAUCCCAACCAUGUCUGCAACCUACACCACAGCUCACAGCAGCGCCGGAUUGCAAACCCCCUGAGCGAGGCCAGGGCCUCAGUGUUUCUAGCUGGAUUUGUUUCCGCUGCACUACGAAGGGAACUCCCAAUCCACAUGUUUUGAAUAUCAAUGCACAUCACAAAGAGCAUAGACACUUGGUGGAUGAAUAUUUGUAGUUGGAUAAUAAACUGGGAAACAGAUUUUCCUCCUUUUGCACAGUCUUCUCUAUCAAUGCAUGAAUUGUAUGGAUACACAGAACUAGUCUUUAUUUAUAGUGGGCACAAGAAGAGGCUGUAUGCUUCUUCCAUUAGCAGGUAAAAUAAACCCAACAGCUAUUUUAAUAUUUUGCCUUUUCUCUCAUGUUAGGAUUUAGAGAAAACUUUGAAAUUAAAAGGAACUUAAGUCAUUAUGUCCUUUCAAUAAGCAGAAUCUUGUGUUUUCUUGUGGACCACAUUUUCACAAGGAAAAAAGAACUUGUGAAGCAGUAUCAGCCUGCACAAAUGGGUGGGGUGGCAAAUCCUUUAGAGUGAAAUUCCCUAGGGAUUGAUAAAAAUGUCAACGAAACCAUCUUUUUCUAACUUCUCUCUGCUGGAUCAAGGGGGUGAGCCAGUCACAGCCACUCUCUAGUACCUCCUUUGGAAGGUCAGGCUACCUGGGCUGAUUCUUACACCCGUCUUCUGAUUACCUCCUGAGGAGACACCUGUCAAUGUACAAUGACAUCUAAUGCAAAGAUUUUGGCCACAGAAUUGAAGGGGAGGCUAGAUCUUGGCAGGUCUAUUCUCACCUGAGAGUCCACAAGAGCAUGAAGAAGGAUUUACCCAGCAAAAAUGUAUCUUUUUUCAUUCGUUCACUUUUUUCAUCCCUUCAUUGAAUGUUACUAGAUGCCAGACGUAAGUAUUGGACAGCAUAUCCAGGUUGUUUUUUUUCCUCUUUCUCUCCACACAUUUUUUCCAGGCUUUUUAAAUAAGCCACAUAGCAGAAGAGAGACAUUUAGAGCCACUUGGAAUUGCUCGCCAUGUGUAGAUAAUCUGAAUUUAAUGAUCUGCAUGAUGAGAAGGGAAUGGCAGACUCAUCAGGAAGAUAGUAGAAAUGGUUCAGGUUGGUAAAUAUUUUAAAACUGACAGAUUUCUUUAAGUUACCUGCUACAGUGGGUCCAUUUUCUUUCUAUUGUGGAAAGGCCCUGAGUUGCAUAAAAUAUAUCCACAGUGAUUUCCUGUUUUUCUGAUUCAGUUAGCCGUGAUCAAUGUGCAUUUUUUUUUCCAUUGCUUGGUAUUUAUUGAUCAGAGCUACUACACUGAGAAUGACUGUUGAAAUAUAAGUCCCUUGGUUUGCACGCUUGGAGAGGCUAUUAGUGCUUCUCACUAAUUUGUAGGUACUGGUCAUGUCAUGUGUCCAGCUGCUCUGUGGUCUGGUGCCUAGCAGGAAGGACCAAAUAUGAAUGUCUCUUUAUGAAAACAGCCAUCAAAAAGAACAGUGAGAAACAGAGCAUCACAUAUUGUAUUGUUCUCACAGUGCCACUCAAACUCAUAACUGUUAUUAAUUUCAGAGUAAUCACUGGAUGAGAGCAUUUUAUCCAUCUGUUCAGAGAAUUGUGGAAAACUAUUAAAAGAAUUUGCCACAUAUGUGGUCCCUUCCACUUAAUAUCACACAUCCUAGAGACAUUCAACUUUUUAGAAUGUAUAUCAAAAUGUCAAUGUGAAUGUCAGGAAAAUUACUUGCUUGCUAACUGCCUAGGUAGAUCUCACUACAUGGAUCACAGAUCUCAGGCAAGUUUCAAAGAGACUCAGGAAAACAUCACACAAGGGUUCAUUUUUUUUAUCUUUGCUGUGUUAGGUCCACCAUGUUCAAGACAGCGAAUCAGGUUUUCAAAGCAGUUUUUGCAAACACAGGCUUUCUGUGACUAAAAGACUCUUGAAUAACAAAUGUUUAUGGAUAAUAUCACAUUGCACACAAUGGUUUAGAUCAGAGCCUCCAAGCUGGUGUGCUGAAAUACUGAACUCUGAGCCCUAAGGAUGGCUCGUGGGGCCUGGAGUGGCCGGAACCCCGAUCCAGUCACCUCUAGGCGUGAUCAGCUUUGACCAUUGACCCUCAUGUGCUGCUCUAAAAUCUUUUCUCAUGUGUGUGUGUGUGUGUGUGUGUGUGUGUGUGCACGCAUGUGUGUGUGUUGGCAUAGAAAAGGUUGAGAGCACUGCUUUCAAAAGUCAGCUUUAGUAAGCAUGCUUAAGGAAGGCAUUCUCUACUCUGCCAGGCCCACUAAAAUUGUAAAAACUCGCUAACAAAGAGAAGGCAUCCAUUAUGAUGCCAUCUCUACACAGCUGUCCAUUGUCAAGCACUUUCAAAUAAGCAGUCAAUUCCAACAACAGACCUCUGCCUAGAAAGCUUCCAGGGACUCUUUCACAUCUUUCUGUUAGUGCAUCUUGACACACUGUUACAGAUGCACACUUAGUUGAUAAAGACUGACUUAUUGACUAAAUGGCUUUACUUUAGAAGUGUGGCUGUGCCCCAGUGUGUGUGUUCCUUGACACUACCAAAUGCCACUUUUCUGAAACCAGAGAAGUGAGGCAUGCCAAAGUUUCAACUCUAUUUCAGCUCUGCAGGUGUUACUGUACCUGAAAGGCAGCCUGAGUUUGCAUAGAGGUGUCAGUCUAUGGUCAUUGACAGAAUGCAGCAAAAGGGACAAGGGAAAGGCUUUUCAGAAUUAACUACAAAUGCUGCUAUCAAUCUCAUGACUGAAGAUUUAAUUUGGAAAGUUCUUCCAAAUUAAAAAAAAAAAGGCAUUUCAAAGAUGAAGAUUUCCAAUGGGCUAUAGGCAAUUCAUCUCUUUCAGCAACACCAGGAAUGGCCCAAUAAAUGGAGAAUGUCACAUGAUGGAGGGAGGCAUCCCUCAGCUCUUAUGUAAACCUGUGUGCUCUGAUUUUCUAGAAUUUGAAUGUAAAACACAACCCCAUGGAUUUGUUAUCUUUGCCCUUAUUUUUCAAGCUGUGUCUAGAAAACAUUAUAGACACAUGUUAUUAAAAAUACAAGUUCCCCUUGAGGCUCAGCAGUAAUAAACCAAGACUAGCAUCCAUGAGGAUGUGGGUUCAAUCCCUGGCCUUGCUCAAUGGGUUAAGGAUCCAACAUUGCCAUAAACUGUGGUAUAGAUUACAGACUCAACUCAGAUCCCAUGUGUCUGUGGCUGGGGCGUAGGGUGGUGCCUACAGCUCCAAUUCGACCCCUGUAUGACAAGGAUGCGACCCUUAAAAAGAAAACACACACACACACACACACACACACACACACACACACACACACGGCGGAGUUCCCAUUGUGACUCAGCAAGUUAGGAACCUGACUAGUAUACAAGAGGAUGUAGGUUUGAUCCCUGGCCUUGCUCAGUGGGUUAAGGAUCCAGUGUCGCCACAAGCUGCAGCAUAGGUCACAGACACAGCUUGAAUCUGGUAUGGCUGUGGUUGUGGUGUUGGCUAGCAGCUGCAGCUCCAAUUGGACCCUUAGCCUGGGAACUUCCACAUGCCAGAAGUACUGCCCUAAAAAGAAAAAUUAAACAAACACACAUGGGCAUGAAGUGCUGACACAUGCCUCAAUGUAGACGAAGCUUGACAUCAUCUUGCUAAGUGAAAGAAGCCAGGCAUGGAGGGUCACAUAUUGUAUGAUGCCAUCUAUAUGUAAUUUUAGAAUAGGUCAGUCCCUAGGAACAGAAAGCCAAUUGGUGGUUCCAGAGGCUGGAGGGAGGCAAGGAUGGAGAGUGACUGCUCAUGGGUCCGGGGCUUCCUUCUGGGGUGAUGUAAAUAGUUUGGAAGUCAGUAGAAGUGGUGGUGCUAAACAUGGUCAGUGUACUAAAUGCCGCUUUGCUGUUCACUUUAAAAUGCUUAAUUUUAUCUUAUGUGAAUUUCACCUCAAUUAAGAAAAUUAAAAAUACACAUACAAUAUGAGUAUCUACACAUAGUUCUCAAUGCUACUCAUGUAUGCAUGUAAUGAUAACUUGAUCCCCUUGCUGUACAGUGGAGGGAAAAAAAGAAUAAAAAACAAUACACAUACACUUGGAAUCAGAGAACUGUAAUACUAGUUCCUAUAACCACACAAUGAAAGGGUCUGCUCAUCUGAAUGAAUGUAGUGUGUCAUCUCAAUUAUUCCAUAAAUAAAAUAAGUAAUCAUGCACCCUUCCAACUCCUGGAGAGACAGUUAUUUACUAGAGCACGCAUUUUAAGAUUCUCAGUAGAAAAGCAUGCAAGUAUUUUUCUAUACAUAAUUUUUUAAAACAUGGAAUUAUUUGUGAAGCCUUCCUAAAUAUGUGAGUAUAAUUAUAUUAUCCACCAAAGUCCCUUCAAAAGCUAUACUUACAAGGUCAUGAAAUAAUCUUAGUAAGAAUAAACAGAGAACAAUAAGAAUACAUUAAAGAAAUAAACAUUUUAGAUGAAAUAAUAGACACAGCUUAUGACUGUAUGAGUCAUGUGACUAUUGGAGAAUUCUCCCAAAUGUAUGGGCAUAGAGUCUGCUGGGACAAUUAAGUUAUGGUGGUUUGGCAGAGAACAUGAAACGAGCUGUGUGCUGCAGGUCAGUACUCAUGGCAGAACAAGGUAGACUAUUUAAAAUAUACAAUUUCUGGGAGUUCCCAUGGUGGCUCAGUGGAAAUGAAUCUGACUAGUAACCAUGAGGAUGCAGGUUUGAUCCUUGGCUUUGCUCAGUGGAUUAAGGAUCCAUAGUUGCUGUGAGCUGUGGUAGGUCAAAGACGUGGCUCGGAUCCCACAUUUGCUGUGACUGUGGUGUAGGCCAGCAGCUGCAGCUCCAGUUCAGCCCCUAGCCUGGGAACUUCCAUAUGCUCCAGGUACAGCCCUAAAAAGCAAAAUAAAAUAAAUAAAAUAAACCAUUUCUGCCUUCUGUUAUGCCCCCCUUCUCACACCGACCCAGUAAAGUUUGAGGGAAAA
rnacentral:lncRNA from 1 species